rnacentral:lncRNA from 1 species
AAGAAAAAUCAAUCUCUGAUUUUUAUAUUAGUUUGGCCUCAAUGCCUACAUCUAGUGUCCUUUCAAUCAACUUGAGAUUGAAAGCCAAUUGCACUAUAGAGAUAUGAGUUUUUACAAGAAGGCUGUUACAGCGACAAAACUGUCAAAAUGUAAACAGCCUCUCUAACUCACUAAUCUAAUAUAGCCAAUUCAAAAGAAAAAAAAAACCUGCAGCAACAACAAUCCUCUUCUACAGUCACCCCUUUGAGAACCCUCUCAAAGUACAAAGAACUCCUCGUUCUUCUUCCUAGAAACACGCACAGGGAACAACAAUACAAAGUUUGCGAAUCUUCUUCUCCUGAUCAAACAACAAGCACCUCAGUUGUGCAUAACGAUCAUUCUCUUCAAUCCAAUCAAGUUUGCCUCUCAAGAAAUCUUCAAGAUUUAUAACCACUUAAAGUUCUUGUUUCUUAUAGCCUUUGAUCACCUCUAUAAAACUUCUCAAAUGAAUAUCAGUCAAAUAUGAAAGUGUUAA